rnacentral:sRNA from 1 species
UCUCUUCCAGACAACCAUCUGGUGGAC